rnacentral:rRNA from 1 species
AGAGUUUGAUCAUGGCUCAGAUUGAACGCUGGCGGCGUGCUUAACACAUGCAAGUCGAGCGGUAACAGGCGUAGCAAUACGUGCUGACGAGCGGCGAACGGGUGCGUAAUACAUCGGAAUCUACCUCGUAGUGGGGAAUAACCCGGCGAAAGCCGGGCUAAUGCCGCAUACGAUCCACGGAUGAAAGCGGGGGACCGUAAGGCCUCGCGCUAUGAGAUGAGCCGAUGUCGGAUUAGCUAGUUGGUGAGGUAACGGCUCACCAAGGCGACGAUCCGUAGCUGGUCUGAGAGGACGGCCAGCCACACUGGGACUGAGACACGGCCCAGACUCCUACGGGAGGCAGCAGUGGGGAAUAUUGGACAAUGGGGGAAACCCUGAUCCAGCGACGCCGCGUGUGUGAAGAAGGCCUGCGGGUUGUAAAGCACUUUCGGUGGGAACGAAAUAUGCCGGGCUAAUACCCCGGUAGGCUGACGUUACUCAAUGAAGAAGCACCGGCUAACUCUGUGCCAGCAGCCGCGGUA